GUUCAGCUUCACUUCCCCCUUAGGCGGAUAGGAGGAUACAGGGAAGCCUGGUAAAAACAGAAAGGGAAUGGGUGUCGGAAGCGGAGGGUCUGAAGUUCACGACUCCUAGAAGGGGAGGGGAAUGAAAGGCUCUCAGUGAAGAAGGUCCAGAACCCUUCAGAUCAACUUACCAAUAAGUUCAAUAUGUAAAACAGACCAAUAUGGCUGAAAUGGCAAUGAACAAGAGUUCCUGCAACUUGCCAGCCAUGCUUACCCCCAUUCCCACCUCCCCCCCUUUGAAAACCACUGGAAAAACUCACCCCUCAUAAAUGGCUUGAAGUGCCCCAUCUGUAACAUGCUACAUUAAAAUGUUUACUUUUCCCAAUUA